UACGUAGGUGGCAAGCGUUGUUCGGAUUUACUGGGCGUAAAGGGCGCGUAGGCGGCUUGACAAGUCACUUGUGAAAUCUCCGGGCUUAACUCGGAACGGCCAAGUGAAACUGUCAUGCUAGAGUGCAGAAGGGGCAAUCGGAAUUCUUGGUGUAGCGGUGAAAUGCGUAGAUAUCAAGAGGAACACCUGAGGUGAAGACGGGUUGCUGGGCUGACACUGACGCUGAGGCGCGAAAGCCAGGGGAGCAAACGGG
rnacentral:rRNA from 1 species